CCUGAUGCCACGGGAACGCUGGCCCAGCAGCUGGCCAGGAGCCCUGAUGUCAUCCAGCUCUUCCAGGAGACACCUGAAGAGGAGGAACCCGCUCCUUUUCCACACGCUCCCUGAAAACAGAAACCAUCCAAGGGCAGUUCCACUUCCAGGGAUCCUCGUGGCUUUUCCUGGGAAUCUCCACACCCUGAACAUCCCCAUGGAGAAAAUCCACCUGGAUCACGGAUUUACCUGCUCUCCACAAAUCCCUUGAAUUGCUUUAUUUGCAAUUUAAUUUUUACGUGACCUUUUUGGGUAGCACAGAGACUCUUGGAGCUGCACCAACCUUUUGAAUGCUCCUUGUAGCCCACAGCUGAUCCCAAAACCUGCAGGAAUCUGUGGUGGGACCUCAGCCUUGUGAGGACACCAGGGAGCUCUGGAUCAGACUAAAAUAAAGAGGUGUUUUAUCCCAGACUGGAAUUCUGGGCAAUUCCCAGCACUGAUGAACUUUAAAUCCCAACAAUCUGCUCCUGGAAUUCCCAGCAAGGUAAGAGCAGCUGCAGCUGCUGGGUUUGUGCAGCUGGAAUUAUAAAUUCCAUCCCAAACCGAUGUGUCCUUGUCUGUUUGUGAUGCCAAGAGUUAAAAACGGAUGGAAUUCUGCUUUUUUGGGGAUGGCAGGUGUUAAAAAUCAGGCAGGGAGUGAGGUAAGGUGUGCACCAUUUCCCACAUUUUGAGUGGAAAAUUCCCACCUUGCUCUCCCUGGAUCAGCUCCUGGGUGGGUGAGGAAAUUAUUUUAUUCCUCCAAAAGGAAUUAAAAAAAAAUUAAAGGAUUAAAUUUAAAAUUUAAGGAUCUAUGGAUAGUUAAACCCACAAAUCCAGCUCUGGCCUCCCUGCAGCAGGAAAUGCAAGGGGCUGCUUCAUUCCCAUUUUUUAUGUAUCAUUUUAAUAAGCCAUGGAAUAUCUGUGUCCUCCCAGUAUUGCUGAUGAGAAAAACCAGUGGGAAUGUUCCCAAAUAUCCAUGGAAACACAAAGGGGAAAUUCCUUAAAAAACAUGGGAACACCUCAAAACACCAAGGGGAACGUGCAUUAUUUUGGGGGUUGGAAAAGGAACGUGGGUUCAGCUUUGUGCCUGCAAAAUUCCCCCAGGAAAUUCUGGUUUUUCCAAUAACUUUUCCUUCCAGUUUUUUAUUCCCAAACAGGGUUUUGGGAAGCAGGAAUGCAGCCUAAUUAGGGGUUUUUGUUGGGAUAGUUGGCAAAUUUCUAAUUAAAAGUGGUCCAUGGGGCGGGGGUGGAAAAGCGUCAGAUGUGGAGGGAUUGGGGGGUCCAAUUAAACCCCCCUAAACUGAGGAACCCCCUCAUUUAAAGACCCCACUAAAAUGACAAUCCCCCCUAAUUUAAGGACCUCCCUAAAUUGAGGAUGCCCCCCAGUGAACUCCCUAAAUUGAGGGGCUCCCCAAUAUUAAGGAACAUCCCCAAACUGAGGAUCCCCUUGAAAUUAAGGACGCCCCAAAUAGGGGACUCCCCCCAAAA